rnacentral:rRNA from 1 species
GACGAACGCUGGCGGCGUGCUUAACACAUGCAAGUCGAACGGAAAGGCCCUGCUUUUGUGGGGUGCUCGAGUGGCGAACGGGUGAGUAACACGUGAGUAACCUGCCCUUGACUUUGGGAUAACUUCAGGAAACUGGGGCUAAUACCGGAUAGGAGCUCCUGCUGCAUGGUGGGGGUUGGAAAGUUUCGGCGGUUGGGGAUGGACUCGCGGCUUAUCAGCUUGUUGGUGGGGUAGUGGCUUACCAAGGCUUUGACGGGUAGCCGGCCUGAGAGGGUGACCGGCCAUAUUGGGACUGAGAUACGGCCCAGACUCCUGCGGGAGGCAGCAGUGGGGAAUAUUGCACAAUGGGCGGAAGCCUGAUGCAGCAACGCCGCGUGCGGGAUGACGGCCUUCGGGUUGUAAACCGCUUUCGCCUGUGACGAAGCGUGAGUGACGGUAAUGGGUAAAGAAGCACCGGCUAACUACGUGCCAGCAGCCGCGGUGAUACGUAGGGUGCGAGCGUUGUCCGGAUUUAUUGGGCGUAAAGGGCUCGUAGGUGGUUGAUCGCGUCGGAAGUGUAAUCUUGGGGCUUAACCCUGAGCGUGCUUUCGAUACGGGUUGACUUGAGGAAGGUAGGGGAGAAUGGAAUUCCUGGUGGAGCGGUGGAAUGCGCAGAUAUCAGGAGGAACACCAGUGGCGAAGGCGGUUCUCUGGGCCUUUCCUGACGCUGAGGAGCGAAAGCGUGGGGAGCGAACAGGCUUAGAUACCCUGGUAGUCCACGCUGUAAACGGUGGGUACUAGGUGUGGGGUCCAUUCCACGGGUUCCGUGCCGUAGCUAACGCUUUAAGUACCCCGCCUGGGGAGUACGGCCGCGAGGCUAAAACUCAAAGGAAUUGACGGGGCCCCGCACAAGCGGCGGAGCAUGCGGAUUAAUUCGAUGCAACGCGUAGAACCUUACCUGGGUUUGACAUGGAUCGGGAGUGCUCAGAGAUGGGUGUGCCUCUUUUGGGGUCGGUUCACAGGUGGUGCAUGGCUGUCGUCAGCUCGUGUCGUGAGAUGUUGGGUUAAGUCCCGCAACGAGCGCAACCCUUGUUCACUGUUGCCAGCACGUUAUGGUGGGGACUCAGUGGAGACCGCCGGGGUCAACUCGGAGGAAGGUGGGGAUGACGUCAAGUCAUCAUGCCCCUUAUGUCCAGGGCUUCACGCAUGCUACAAUGGCUGGUACAGAGAGUGGCGAGCCUGUGAGGGUGAGCGAAUCUCGGAAAGCCGGUCUCAGUUCGGAUUGGGGUCUGCAACUCGACCUCAUGAAGUCGGAGUCGCUAGUAAUCGCAGAUCAGCAACGCUGCGGUGAAUACGUUCCCGGG